ensembl:snRNA U6 U6 spliceosomal RNA
GUCCUGGUUCAUUAGGACACAUAAUAAAUUAGGAACGAUACAGAGAAGACUAGCAUGGAUGACACGCUUCAGUUCCUCCUUUUU